AUGCUCCCCUGUAAAAUUUUGAUUUGUAUCUUUUUCUUUACUGUUUUUCUUCCUCUGUUUUCUUCUGUCCCCUCUCUGUUCUACAGUUGCUUUGAUUUUAUAGCCUCCUUAGGACAUCAAUUUAGGAAAUUAGUUAAUGUGUUAUUGCUGAUUUGGGAAUUUUUCAAUUGUAAUUGA